rnacentral:rRNA from 1 species
UACAGAGGGGGCAAGCGUUGUUCGGAAUUACUGGGCGUAAAGGGCGCGUAGGCGGCCUUCUAAGUCGAACGUGAAAUCCCCGGGCUCAACCUGGGAAUUGCAUUCGAGACUGAAUAGCUAGGGUACGGUAGAGGGAAGUGGAAUUUCCGGUGUAGCGGUGGAAUGCGCAGAUAUCAGGAGGAACACCGGUGGCGAAGGCGGGUCUCUGGGCAGUAACUGACGCUGAGGAGCGAAAGCGUGGGGAGCGAACAGG